GUGAUAUUGAUUCGUUUUUCAUGGGAUCCUGUAGUCUAUGGCAGAGUCCCCAUAUCUGUGUUCACAAAUUCACCAACAAAGCUGGUGCUGGUUGCUCCUAUCUUGUUUGUUUCUCGGGCAAAUAAGUUGUGGCUGUCAAAGAUCUCACGGAACUCAUAUUCAAAAAAUAGCGGAAUGUCCAAUAUCUCUUCCUUAAUUUGCCAUUAACACAAUAUGUAUACAAUGCUUAUAAUUAAACAGACAAGUGGCCGCAGAAGGAUUAGAAGCUGUUUAAACCACACCACCGAUUCCAAUAUUCUGAUUCGGCUUCAUAAAGGAUUAAGAUUUAAGAGCGAUCGUAAUGAGAAAUUGCAUUGCCUGUAUUGCUCGCAUUUGAACAAUUAAUCUACAACGAAUAUUAAUGUAGAAGGAGGCGACCAGAUUAGAGAGAGUAGGCGAGAGAGAAUUUGCGCGUGAGAGAGAGUUAGUGUUAUGUGUACGAUAGUUGAAUCCCAACCAGAGGUGUAUACAUUGCGAAAAUCUCUGGUGCAAUAAAACUUCAUAAAAUAUCGACUCAGACAUGCACAUUCUGAGAAAAUAUAUUUUGCAGCAGCUACCCGGACCGCCGUCGUCUUAUUUAGUGCAAUAACCCUUUCUUCACCACGGGAGAUUCGAAGAGAAAGCCUACUGUGUCGACAAGGUAAGGAUAAAAGUUUUUAAAAAUAGGCUACUUAGUCGUCGUUAUUUGGUCAUUUUAGGGUAUGACACUAUGUGUCAAACCGCCUGACAGACAGACAGUUCUCUUUGCAUAUGCAAAUCCAAUUUCUCUGCUAUACGGUUUAGGAUUACGAGGAAAAGAAAUUGAACAGCAACAGACAUGGUAACGGCUGAAAUAGAACGACAAAACAAGAUGAAAGUAUAAUCAGUAAACGCCCCUUAGUAAAGGACAGAGUGUGUGACUUGACAUGCCUUUACAAUUAAGCGAAGUAGCGUAUGCUAAUUAUUCAGGUUUAGUAGUACAUCUUGCCAGAAAAACCGUGCACAAUACCCCAAGCGCUUGUUCACCUAUAUGAAACGAGACGAAACGAGUGUAUAAGCGAUACCUUUGGGCUAACUGAAUUAAACAACUCAUUCAGAAAGACGCCUGGUUCUUCCCCCUGAAGAAGGAUGUCUAUGUGGACUCCGCAGGCUGUUGGUGGUGUGGAGAAGGAGAUUGGGAAGAGAACAGAGGAGACCAGUGGCCCUUAGCAAAUAGCUGCAGCUCAGGUCUUUCUUUCUGCAGAGAGCAGUGAUCACUUCAGGCUGCAGAGAGCAGUCGUCACCACCAGGAGGCGCUAGAGAGCAGUGAUCCCCGCCCUGCAGAGGUGGCGGUCUCCUCCCGUGGCUGCGUUUCUG
ensembl:lncRNA